CUUUCAACAACGGAUCUCUUGGCUCUGGCAUCGAUGAAGAACGCAGCGAAAUGCGAUACGUAAUGUGAAUUGCAGAAUUCAGCGAACCAUCGAAUCUUUGAACGCACAUUGCGCCCGCCAGCAUUCUGGCGGGCAUGCCUGUCCGAGCGUCAUUUCCC
rnacentral:rRNA from 3 species